ACGGCCGCGGUGAUCUUGACCGUGCUAAGGUAACGAAAUCACUUGUCUUUUAAAUGAAGACCUGUAUGAAUGGUGGAACGAGGGCUUAACUGUCUCCUUUUUCAGGUCAGUGAAAUUGAUCUGCCCGUGCAGAAGCGGACAUAUACAUACAAGACGAGAAGACCCUUUGGAGCUUAAGACUUAAAGUCAACUGUGUUAAAAGUUCUGACUAAAAAAAUUAAACAAAACAACCACUGACUCUGCGCCUUCGGUUGGGGCGACCGCGGGGGAAAACAAAGCCCCCACGUAGAAUGGGACAACCCCUAAAACUAAGAGAGACAUCUCUAAGUCACAGAACCUCUGACUAAAAGAUCCGGCGCACACCGAUCAACGAACCAAGUUACCCUAUGGAUAACAGCGCAAUCCCCUCCAAGAGCCCGUAUCAACAAGGGGGUUUACGACCUCCAUGUUGGAUCAGGACAUCCUAAUGGUG
rnacentral:rRNA from 1 species